AGAGUUUGAUCCUGGCUCAGGAUGAACGCUAAUAGUAGGCUUUACACAUGCGGGUUGAACGAAUUUAAUUAGUAGCGAACGGGUGCGUAAUAAAUAGGAAUCUGCCUUAUAGCUCGGACUUAAAUUCCGAAUAAUUUAUAAAGAAUAUUUUGCUAUAAGAUGAGCCUUUUUAGGAUUAGGUUGUUGGUGAGGUAAAAGCUUACCAAGCCUAUGAUCCUUAGUUGGUCUGUGAGGACGGUCAGCCACACUGGGACUGAGACAAGGCCCAGGCUUCGUUUGAAGCCAGCAGUGGGGAAUCUUGGACAAUGAGCGAAAGCUUGAUCCAGCUAUACUAAAUAAGUGAUGACAGCUUGACAUUGGUUGUAAAACUUAGACUUCAAAGAGGAUUAUGACGUUAUUUGAAAGAUUAGUCCCAGCUAACUUCGUGCCAGCAGCUGCGGUAAUACGAAGGGGGCGUGCGUUAUCCGGAAUGAUUGGGCGUAAAGGGUUCGUGGGUGGUAUAUAUCAAUAAUUGUUAAAAAUUAGAGCCUAACUCUAUAAAAGCUUUUUAUAAUGUAUAUACCUGGAGUGCAAUAGGGGGUAGUGGAAUUUUAUAGGAAGGGGUAAAAUCUGACGAUCUAUAAAGGAACAUCAGUGGCGAAGGCGACUACCUGGGUUGUUACUGACACUGAGGAACGAAAGCGUGGGGAGCAAACAGGAUUAGAUACCCUGGUAGUCCACGCUGUAAAAUCUGAGUGUUCGUGCUUAGUUUGAGUAUACGUUUAAAUGGAGUAGACUAGAUUGAUAGUUUGAAAGUUGAAAGUUUAGAAGGGUUUCAACUUUUAAGCUCUUGGGUGUUUUUGUUUUUGGACUUAAAUAUCGUUAAUCUUUUAGAAAAAUUUUCUCGGUCUCUAUCUUUAGGCACCAAGCUAACGCGUUAAACACUCCGCCUGGGGAGUACGAUUGCAAGAUUGAAACUCAAAGGAAUUGACGGG
rnacentral:rRNA from 1 species